AGUGAACGCUGGCGGCAGGCCUAACACAUGCAAGUCGAACGGCAGCGGGUCGUAGCAAUACGAUGCCGGCGAGUGGCGGACGGGUGAGGAAUACAUCGGAAUCUACCUUGUCGUGGGGGAUAACGUAGGGAAACUUACGCUAAUACCGCAUACGAACCAUGGUUGAAAGCGGCGGACCGCAAGGCGUCGCGCGAUUGGAUGAGCCUAUGUCCGAUUAGCUAGUUGGCGGGGUAAAGGCCCACCAAGGCGACGAUCGGUAGCUGGUCUGAGAGGAUGAUCAGCCACACUGGAACUGAGACACGGUCCAGACUCCUACGGGAGGCAGCAGUGGGGAAUAUUGGACAAUGGGGGCAACCCUGAUCCGGCCAUGCCGCGUGUGUGAAGAAGGCCUUCGGGUUGUAAAGCACUUUUGUUGGGGAAGAAAAGCACUGGGUUAAUACCCUGGUGUCAUGACGGUACCCAAAGAAUAAGCACCGGCUAACUUCGUGCCAGCCGCCGCAGUAACAC
rnacentral:rRNA from 1 species